rnacentral:rRNA from 1 species
CCUACGGGAGGCAGCAGUGAGGAAUAUUGGUCAAUGGGAGAGAGCCUGAACCAGCCAAGCCGCGUGAGGGAAGAAGGCCCUAUGGAUCGUAAACCUCUUUUGUCGGGGAACAAAACCCGGGACGUGUCCCGGGAUGCGCGUAUCCGAAGAAAAAGCAUCGGCUAACUCCGUGCCAGCAGCCGCGGUAAUACGGAGGAUGCGAGCGUUAUCCGGAUGUAUUGGGUUAAACGGGUGCGUAGGCGGUCCGUGAAGUCAGCGGUAAAAGGGCGGGGCUCAACCCCGGCGAGCCGUUGAAACUGGCAGUCUUGAGUUGGCGAGAAGUAUGCGGAAUGCGCGGUGUAGCGGUGAAAUGCAU